CAGAUUUCGGACGGAAAAUACUUGUGCGCACAUUCACCGUAAAGCAAAGAGGGACGAAACGUUGGAGUCUUUCAGAAAGUAAAAAUGGACGAAGUAGCUCCCUGGUUCCAGUUAAGAAUCACUUCUUCCCUGCGUCCCAAGGCUGAUGAGAUGAAGGCUUUCUUAAGCAGCACUAAUUACAGUGGUCGGAGUUGCCUUGCAGAGUUCAUCAGAAAUGAAGACAUCCGAAAACUCUUUGUUUACUUGAAGUUUGCCAAAGGUCCUAUUCAAGCUUCUUUGAUUCCACCCAAAGCACUUGAGAGCAAAUGCAUGUGUCUGAUAAAAUCCAGAUCUGCACUCAAGCUGACAGCUGA